UCCAGGCUGAAGCGAUCCUCCCACCUCAACCUCCCACGUGGCUGAGACUACAGGUGCUUGCCACUAUGCCCAACUAACAUUUGGAAUUUUCGUAUACGUGGAUUCUAGAGGGGUGACAGCGAAACGUGACCUCACAGUGACUCAAGCUACCACUUACUGUUGAUUGUGACGAAAUGCCAGCUGAGGCACAUGCCUUGGGAGCUAAGUGGUUGCUGCCCUUGACCACUGUGAAGACUGGUGUGGGAAGGGUCGCUUUGGAUGCACUUGAGCAGGGGUCCCCAACCCCUGAGCCAUGGAGCCGCAAGGAGCCACACAGCAGGAGGUGGGACCAUCCAGUUGCAGGAAAACAAGCUUAACACGCCCACUGAUUCUACAUUAUGCUCCUACCUCCCGGCAGCCUCUCCAGGCCCAGAACUUUCUCCAGUCAGCCUCUACAGACCAAGCUCAUGACUCUCAAUGGCCUAUUUAGGCCCAUACCCUACGUCACGGCAGCCUCCGCAGAUGAGGCUACUGCCUCACAACAGCCUCCACAGGCACAGCUCCAUCGUUACAAUGGCCUCUUUAGACCCAGCUCCUGCCUCCCAGCCUUCUCUCCAGGCCCUGAACUUUCUCAAGUCAACCUCACCAGGCCCAGCUCAUGCUUCUUUGCAGCCUCUCCAGGCCCAGCUCCUGCAUCUUGGUGGCCCCUCCAGGCCCAGCCUCUGCCUCCCGUCAGCCUCUACAGUCCGAACGUCUGC
rnacentral:lncRNA from 1 species